rnacentral:rRNA from 1 species
AUUGAACGCUGGCGGCAUGCCUUACACAUGCAAGUCGAACGGUAACGCGGGGCAACCUGGCGACGAGUGGCGGACGGGUGGGUAAUGCAUCGGAACGUGCCCAGUAGUGGGGGAUAGCCCGGCGAAAGCCGGAUUAAUACCGCAUACGACCUACAGGUGAAAGGGGGGGAUCGCAAGACCUCUCGCUAUUGGAGCGGCCGAUGUCAGAUUAGGUAGUUGGUGGGGUAAAGGCCUACCAAGCCGACGAUCUGUAGCUGGUCUGAGAGGACGACCAGCCACACUGGGACUGAGACACGGCCCAGACUCCUACGGGAGGCAGCAGUGGGGAAUUUUGGACAAUGGGCGCAAGCCUGAUCCAGCCAUGCCGCGUGCGGGAAGAAGGCCUUCGGGUUGUAAACCGCUUUUGUCAGGGAAGAAAUCUUUUGAGUUAAUACCUCGGAAGGAUGACGGUACCUGAAGAAUAAGCACCGGCUAACUCCGUGCCAGCCGCCGCCGUAACAC